AAAACAUCUGGGGCUGCACGGUGGCUCAUGCCUGUAAUCCCAGCAGUUUGGGAGGUCAACAUGGGUGAAUCACUUGAGGUCAGAAGUUUGGGACCAGCCCAGCCAAUGUGGCCCUGAUCAGGAAGUGAAGACAACAUGACUGUGGAGAAGAGAGCCGGGAAGGGAAGAAGCUCAAUAAUGAGUGCAUUCUAGGCCAGCUUCCCCAGUGAGAGCAUCAAGGUUGAUGGAAGAACAUGAGGGGAAGUGGCAUGAGAGCAAGCCCGUGCUCUCCUCUACAGAGACAGAAGCCAGACAUGCCUUUUCCAUGUGCUGAUCUCCAAGUCCCAGCUAGUAGGUCACAUGACAUCACAGUCCUGCUCUUCCUCAAUGGGAAUGUCUCCACCAUCUACCCAUUUGCCCAAGUGGGAAACCUGGCCAGGGAUCCUGAGUGCCUCCUGUCUGUCUCACCUCCCCGUAUCCAACUGUCCCCAAAUAACUUCCAAACCACCCACUUGACGCUCUGCCUCUCCCCUCUUCCUGUGUUGAGAACACCACCUCCCCUCACCUGGAAGAUUCCAAUCACCUCUGUUCCCAGCCUGGCCUCUCUGUGGUGCCUGUGGCUCCCCCAUCUCCAGGCUAGUCACCACCAGAGAUCUGGAGGGGUCUUGGGUGAGCCUGCUGGAGCCUACCUUGCCUGAAUGCACUAAGAGCCAAGG
rnacentral:lncRNA from 1 species